rnacentral:lncRNA from 1 species
GCGAGGUGGAGGAAUGUGGCGGCAUAGAAGCUGUUCACCACGGGGAUGACCUUCUGCUGCCGAUUACACUCUCUGCAGGAAAAAGAUGAGGAACUAAGGCUCAGUGACCUUUAGUAACUUUCCUAAGGCAUGGGAACCAGGAUACCAACUGAGGUUAUUUGCUCCAGAGCUGAUGUGCAUAACCCCCGUGCUAGCUCUCCAGCCUCUUCAUCAUCCUGACCCGUCAGCUCUCCUUGGCCUGCAGCAGACCCAACCCCUGGGCCCACAUCAUCUCCUGGUGUCAGGAUGAAGACAGAAGUGAGAGGCUCGGUGCUCUAACUAGCCCUACGGGUUCUUAAAGUCUCCUCUCCCCUUCUUUGGGCUUCUGGUUGUCUGGCUGAUCGUGAGCACCUCAUCCUAAGACAGAGAAGACGCACGUGGGUAGAAGGUCAUCCUGACUUGGGGGGACACCCCAUCUCACGAUAACACAGAGGCCUGAGAGCCAGCUGUGCGGGUCAGACCCCAAGAGGAGGCAGCCUGAGUCUGGCAGGGGAGCUUCACCAGGAAGGGCCUCAGAAUCCCCUACAGGGACAGCUUUAAUGCUCUAUGUUUAGUCAGGCAAGCUCCUUUCUUUAAUAACAAUGAAACCAAGCUUGCAAAAUCCCUGAA